rnacentral:tRNA from 1 species
AAGGAAGAUACAGAAAAUAGUAAGCACUGCUAAUUCUUACGCUCCAUGG